CCUACGGGGGGCAGCAGUGGGGAAUAUUGGACAAUGGGGGCAACCCUGAUCCAGCCAUGCCGCGUGUGUGAAGAAGGCCCUCGGGUUGUAAAGCACUUUCAGUGAGGAAGAACGCCUGGUGGUUAAUACCCAUCAGGAAAGACAUCACUCACAGAAGAAGCACCGGCUAACUCCGUGCCAGCAGCCGCGGUAAUACGGAGGGUGCGAGCGUUAAUCGGAAUUACUGGGCGUAAAGCGCGCGUAGGUGGCUUGAUGAGCCGGUUGUGAAAGCCCCGGGCUCAACCUGGGAACGGCAUCCGGAACUGUCAAGCUAGAGUGCAGGAGAGGAAGGUAGAAUUCCCGGUGUAGCGGUGAAAUGCGUAGAGAUCGGGAGGAAUACCAGUGGCGAAGGCGUCCUUCUGGACUGACACUGACACUGAGGUGCGAAAGCGUGGGUAGCAAACAGGAUUAGAUACCCCGGUAGUC
rnacentral:rRNA from 1 species